AGUGAUGCGUCGGGAGUUUGUAGAAGCCGCUGCCGUCAGACAGAAGCUGGUUGAGUUGUUGGACGGUCACCUCGCUGCCUGGAGCCGGGACGUCAGGCGGUGGUGGCGGAGGCGGAUGCUGCUGCUGUUUCGUGGGACUCAGGUGUCUGAAGAGGCGGAGCCCCACAGGUUUUCGCCACGGUGACCAACGGAGCCUCAUCUGAGAGCACUUCCGGGAAAAUUUCAAAAUAAAGCACUUUCCCCCUCCUCAA